AGCGAACGCUGGCGGCAGGCUUAACACAUGCAAGUCGAACGGGCAUCCUCUGAUGUCAGUGGCAGCCGGGGUAGUAACCCGGUGGAACGUACCCGUGUGAUCUGAAUAACUCAGUGGAACUUGAUCUAAUACCUGAUACGCCCAUCGGAGAGGAGGUGUAUUGCCGUAGGAUCGGCGCGCGUCUGAUUGGGGUGUGGGUAGGGUAACGGCCUACCAAGGCUGGGGUCAGUAUCUGGUCUGAGAGGAUGCUACGCUACACUGGGACUGCGACACGGACCAGACUGGUACGGGGGGGAGGAGUGGGGAGUAUUGGACAAUGGGCGCAAGUGUGAUCCAGCCACGCGGGGUGAGUGAUGCAGGCGUUAGGGUUGCACAGCUCUCUUGUCCGGGACGAUAAUGACGGUAACGGAAGAAUAAGCCCCGGCUAACUUCGUG
rnacentral:rRNA from 1 species